ACGUAAAACCCACUAAACAUGUUUCUUUCUCUCUUUAUUUUCUUCAUUUUAGGGUUUCUUACCCAUUCCUUUAAACUUCAUCUCAAAUUUAGAAACUUCACCCCAAUCUAUGGCCCUUCCUCUUACCCAAUCCUCAGAUGCCUUAUUUCCUUCUAUAAAAAUCGACAUCGACUAUUGGACUGGUACACUCAACUUUUAUCUGAAUCCCCAACACAAACCAUUCUAGUUCAGCGAUUCGGCGCUCCUCAGACCAUAAUCACAGCUAAUCCGGAUAACGUUGAGUACAUUCUCAAAACGAAUUUUAUUAAUUAUCCAAAGGGGAAGUCGUUUACGGAUAUUCUAGGCGAUUUUCUAGGGCGUGGGAUAUUCAACGUGGACGGGGAGCUGUGGAGUGCCCAGCGUAAAUUGGCUGGCCAUGAAUUCAGCACAAAUUCAUUGAGGGAGUUUGUCGUCAAAACUCUAGAAGAAGUAGUCGAAACCAGGCUUGUUCCGUUGUUAAUUCAGGCAGCUAAAUCUGGCAAAGUGUUGGACUUGCAAGACGUGCUUAGGCGUUUCGCCUUUGAUACAAUUUGCAAGGUGUCCCUUGGUACUGACCUGCACUGUUUGGAUGAUUUUUAUAGAAGGAAAUAAGGCAUCCGAGGAUUGGGUAAGAGGAAGGGCAAUAGAUUGGAGUGAAUUUUCAAAAUUUGAGAUGAAGUUUUAGGGAAUGGGUAAGAAACCCUAAAAUGAAGAAAAUAAAGAGAGAAAGAAACAUGUUUCUAGCAAAGUGGGUGUUAGAGUGAAUGAGUUUUGUAAGAUUGAGGGAUAAGUGGUUCUAUUUAUAUUUGUGGAAAUUUCCACACUUAACUUCUCAACAUUACAUACAUACACAAGGACAAAGAAGCAGGUGAUGAUCCAGAUAUAAAAGAGAUCUUGAAUGCUUGUUGUGUACAAGGCUAAUUAAUCAAGACAGUCUAUAUAUUAUGUGUAUAUACAGAUUACAGACACAUUAUCUAAGUGUAUCAUUGUAUAUGUGUAUCAUAAUUAAACAGAAAGAAAAUCAAGAUGCAUCCCUUGUUCUAUUA